GGCGGUGUAGCUCAGCUGGCUAGAGCAUUCGGUUCAUACCCGGAGGGUCGGGGGUUCGAAUCCCUUCGCCGCUACCA
rnacentral:tRNA from 1 species